UAAUCCCUUUGUCUAUGGAAAUUUCAUUUUUAAGUCAAUUUUUUUUAAAAAUAAAUACUGUACUUUAGAAUUAAUGGUUGAUUUUAGCCCAUCAUUUCAUUUGCCCUGUUAGCUUUGUGCUUUCUUCUACUGCCCUUAAUUUUAUCGGCAAACAGCUCCUUUUGUAGCGCACCGCCGCCUCUUCUUCACUGCCUAAAACAGAGAGAGCGGACGCAGAGACAGAGAAGACAAAGAAAGGUAACCGAGAGAGAAGGCAAGAAAGAGAUGGAGAUAGGAAAAGACAGUAUGAGUUCUAUCAAGAAGCAAGAAGAAACAAGAAACUCAAAUCCUGGUUAUGGCCACCGAGUUUAGAGGCUGUGAAUCAGAGAUGACGAUCAAAUUAUAUUACGGUCUCCAGUGUUUAAAAAUGUUACUAUCCAGUUCAAAUAGAGUUUGAGUUAUGUGAUGCACAAAUUAUAUUAGGCUUUGAAGUCACUUUUCACAAGAACUUCAGCCCAAGCAAUCUUUUCCAAUCGAAAAUUCCUGAUUGCCCCAUCAAGCAAUCCUCUGAUCCCAA